GACGAACGCUGGCGGCGUGCUUAACACAUGCAAGUCGAACGGAAAGGCCUGCUUUCCCUUGUGGAUUGCGGGUACUCGAGUGGCGAACGGGUGAGUAACACGUGAGUGAUCUGCCCCCAACUUGGGUAUAAGCCUGGGAAACUGGGUCUAAUUCCCGAUAGGACUGCAGGGUGGUGCCUGUGGUGGAAAACGAUUUUCUAGUGGUUGGGGAUGAGCUCGCGGCCUAUCAGCUUGUUGGUGGGGUAAUGGCCUACCAAGGCGGCGACUGGUAGCCGGCCUGGGAGGGUGGACGGUCACAUUGGGACUGGGAUACGGCCCAGACUCCAGCGGGAAGCAGCAGUUGGGAAUAUAGCAGAAUGGGCGGGAGGCUGAUGCAGCGACGCCGCGUGGGGGAUGACGGCCUUCGGGUUGUAAGCUACUAGCGACGGAGAGGAGGCCACCUGGUUGGAAGGGUGGUGACGGUAGUGGUAGAAGAAGCACCGGCUAACUACGUG
rnacentral:rRNA from 1 species